CAGGAUCCACAGUGAAUUACAAGACCGAGGGGGAGAUGAUGACCGUGAUCCGUCAAAAGGCAGACUAUUCCGGCCGCCGUAACUAAUACACAAUAUAAUAUCCUCCGUAUCCAGCGGCAAUGGGCUCAUCAGAAUCGACUCUUAUCAAUUCACAGAAGAAUAGCGAAGAAGAUGGAAUCACCACCGUAUCGGAGCGAAUAAAAGACGUUGAUCCCGUGCUACAGAAACUUAGUUCCCUUACAAUCGCGUCUCCUAUAUUGACGACAUCUGCCUCAACAACAGAGAGCAGUUUGACUGAUAUUUUGGUUAGGAAGCCAUCAACUUCUUCUAAUACAACAGGCAUUGUAGAUCCAAAGGUGCUACUAGAACUAUUUACAGUGUACCAAGAAUUGCAAGAAAAACAAGCUCAAAACAUCAACAAAAGACAGGAAGAAAUAGAAAACAAGAUAGAAGUUGCAGACGCUUUGGCACUAAAACUUCUUCAAAGAUACAAUUACUCGGUCUCAGCAAUGAAGACAACCGCAACUCACUUAUCUGGAGUUGACGAGUUGCAGGUGGAACUUGGGGUGCUGAAAGGAAGGCUAACUGAAGUGGUUAGUAACUGUGAUGCUUUAUGCAAAAGAAUUGCUGCUGAUGGACCUGAACCGCUCUGCUCGUCCGUCAAGCCAUUUGCAGCAGCAGCAGCCGCUGAUUUAAGAACAACGACGAGCCAUCCCUCAGCUUUAGAUGGUGCACCGUUACAACUUAAGCCCGAACCUUAGGUCCCUUUAUCUCUUGUCUAUGCCUUCAAAGUAUAUGUGAAAGGUGAUAGUUUUGGACCCCAAAAAUGAUAUGGCACGCCAUAUAGACGGGAGACACGAUAAAUGAGAAAAAGUUCUGUUUUGGGUCGUAAAUUGCAUGAGGACGUAGGGGUGUCAUUUUAUACCGAAGCUGACCCGAACUCAACUAAGAAUGAACCUGAGGAGUAAGAACCCGACUACCUGCAAUACCCGAACAAAUAUUUGUUUUAGUGGUUAUUUUAAA